AACUGUCAAGAGGGUGAAAAUUCUUGGGAUCCAGUGGAAGGACUACCUACUGCGAAAGCAUUUGCCAAGGGAUGUUUUCAUUAAUCAGAACGAAGUUAGGGGAUCGAAGACGAUCAGAUACCGUCGUAGUCUUACCCAUAAACUAUGCCGGACUAGGGAUCGGACGGUGUUUAUUUCAUGACCCGUUCGGCACCUUACGAGAAAUCAAAAGUGCUUGGGCUCCCAGGGGGAAGUAUGGUCGCAAGGGCUGAAACUUAAAGAAAAUUGACGGGAAGGGGCACCACCAGGGGGUGGAGCCUGCGGCUUUAAUUUGACUCAACACGGGGAAACUCACCAGGUCCAGACACAAUAAGGAUUGACAGAUUGAGAGCUCUUUCUUGAUUUUGUGGGUGGUGGUGCAUGGCCGUUCUUAGUUGGUGGGGUGACUUGUCUGCUUAAUUGCGAUAACGAACGAGACCUUAACCUGCUAAAUAGCCCGCAUUGCUCCGGCAGUGCGCUGGCUUCUUAGAGGGACUUUCGGCUCAAGCCGAAGGAAGUUUGAGGCAAUAACAGGUCUGUGAUGCCCUUAGAUGUUCUGGGCCCGCACGCGCGCUACACUGACGGGGUCAGCGAGUUCCUUGGCCGAAAGGCCCGGGUAAUCUUGUUAGCCCCCGUCGUGCUGGGGAUAGAGCAUUGCAAUUAUUGCUCUUCAACGAGGAAUCCCUAGUAAGCGCAAGUCGUCAGCUUGCGUUGAUUACGUCCCUGCCCUUUGCCCUCUCCCCCGUC
rnacentral:rRNA from 1 species